rnacentral:rRNA from 1 species
CCUACGGGGGGCAGCAGUGAGGAAUAUUGGUCAAUGGGCGCGAGCCUGAACCAGCCAAGUAGCGUGAAGGAUGACGGCCCUAUGGGUUGUAAACUUCUUUUAUGCAGGAAUAAAGUGCGGCACGUGUGCCUUUUUGUAUGUACCGCAUGAAUAAGGAUCGGCUAAUUCCGUGCCAGCAGCCGCGGUAAUACGGAGGAUCCGGGCGUUAUCCGGAUUUAUUGGGUUUAAAGGGAGCGUAGGUGGGUUGUUAAGUCAGUCGUGAAAGUUUGCGGCUCAACCGUAGAAUUGCAGUUGAUACUGGCAGUCUUGAGUACGGUUGAGGUAGGCGGAAUUCGUGGUGUAGCGGUGAAAUGCUUAGAUAUCACGAAGAACUCCGAUUGCGAAGGCAGCAUACUACACCGCUACUGACGUUGAUGCUCGAAGGUGUGGGUAUCGAACAGGAUUAGAUACCCCAGUAGUC